rnacentral:misc_RNA from 1 species
UCGUGCAAACAAGGGGACGUUACGGGGGGCUGUCGCUGACCAUCUAAAGGUCGUGCACGCCCUCUUAGCGUUCUCAUUUACACAUCCAUCUCACCCUUUGUGCAUCACCGCGUGGGUGCUCUCCUUUUUGAAAAGGGAGCAUUUGCGCUUUUACACAGACCCACCGCAUGUCUAGAAUGUUGCGAUAAUAUGCAAUCAAUA